UGGGGAAUAUUGCACAAUGGGCGCAAGCCUGAUGCAGCCAUGCCGCGUGUAUGAAGAAGGCCUUCGGGUUGUAAAGUACUUUCAGCGGGGAGGAAGGCGAUAAGGUUAAUAACCUUGUCGAUUGACGUUACCCGCAGAAGAAGCACCGGCUAACUCCGUGCCAGCAGCCGCGGUAAUACGGAGGGUGCAAGCGUUAAUCGGAAUUACUGGGCGUAAAGCGCACGCAGGCGGUCUGUCAAGUCGGAUGUGAAAGCCCCGGGCUCAACCGGGGAAGUGCAUUCGAAACUGGCAGGCUAGAGUCUUGUAGAGGGGGGUAGAAUUCCAGGUGUAGCGGUGAAAUGCGUAGAGAUCUGGAGGAAUACCGGUGGCGAAGGCGGCCACCUGGACAAAGACUGACGCUCAGGUGCGAAAGCGUGGGGAGCAAACA
rnacentral:rRNA from 1 species